rnacentral:rRNA from 1 species
GACAGAGGAUGCAAGCGUUAUCCGGAAUGAUUGGGCGUAAAGCGUCUGUAGGUGGUUUAUUAAGUCUACUGUUAAAGAUCAGGGCUUAACCCUGAGCAGGCAAUAGAAACUAAUAGGGUAGAGUACGGUAGGGGCAGAGGGAAUUCCCGGUGUAGCGGUGAGAUGCGUAGAGAUCGGGAAGAACACCAACGGCGAAAGCACUCUGCUGGGCCGAAACUGACACUGAGAGACGAAAGCUAGGGGAGCAAAUGGG